rnacentral:rRNA from 1 species
AUUGAACGCUGGCGGCAUGCUUUACACAUGCAAGUCGAACGGUAACAGGCCGCAAGGUGCUGACGAGUGGCGAACGGGUGAGUAAUGCAUCGGAACGUGCCCAGUCGUGGGGGAUAACGCAGCGAAAGCUGCGCUAAUACCGCAUACGAUCUCUGGAUGAAAGCGGGGGACCGAAAGGCCUCGCGCGAUUGGAGCGGCCGAUGUCAGAUUAGGUAGUUGGUGGGGUAAAGGCCCACCAAGCCAACGAUCUGUAGCUGGUCUGAGAGGACGACCAGCCACACUGGGACUGAGACACGGCCCAGACUCCUACGGGAGGCAGCAGUGGGGAAUUUUGGACAAUGGGCGCAAGCCUGAUCCAGCAAUGCCGCGUGCAGGAAGAAGGCCUUCGGGUUGUAAACUGCUUUUGUACGGAACGAAACGGUCCUGGUUAAUACCUGGGGCUAAUGACGGUACCGUAAGAAUAAGCACCGGCUAACUACGUGCCAGCAGCCGCGGUAAAAC